rfam:Geobacter sp. M18, complete genome.
GGGCGAUUAGCUCAGCGGGAGAGCACUGCCUUCACACGGCAGGGGUCACUGGUUCGAACCCAGUAUCGCCCA